UCAGGAUGAACGCUGGCGGCGUGCUUAACACAUGCAAGUCGAACGGUGAAGCAGAGCUUGCUCUGUGGAUCAGUGGCGAACGGGUGAGUAACACGUGAGCAAUCUGCCCCUGACUCUGGGAUAAGCGCUGGAAACGGCGUCUAAUACCGGAUACGAGCUGCGAUCGCAUGGUCAGUAGCUGGAAAGAAUUUCGGUCAGGGAUGAGCUCGCGGCCUAUCAGCUUGUUGGUGAGGUAAUGGCUCACCAAGGCGUCGACGGGUAGCCGGCCUGAGAGGGUGACCGGCCACACUGGGACUGAGACACGGCCCAGACUCCUACGGGAGGCAGCAGUGGGGAAUAUUGCACAAUGGGCGAAAGCCUGAUGCAGCAACGCCGCGUGAGGGAUGACGGCCUUCGGGUUGUAAAC
rnacentral:rRNA from 1 species